CCUACGGGAGGCUACAGUCGAGAAUUUUUCUCAAUGGGGGAAACCCUGAAGGAGCGACGCCGCGUGGAGGAUGAAGGCUUUCGGGUUGUAAACUCCUGUCAUUUGGGAACUAGUACCAGAAGAGGAAGGGACGGCUAACUCUGUGCCAGCAGCCGCGGUAAUACAGAGGUCCCAAGCGUUGUUCGGAUUCAUUGGGCGUAAAGGGUGCGUAGGUGGCGCCGUAAGUCGGGUGUGAAAUUUCGGAGCUUAACUCCGAAACUGCAUUCGAUACUGCGGUGCUUGAGGACUGGAGAGGAGACUGGAAUUCAUGGUGUAGCAGUGAAAUGCGUAGAGAUCAUGAGGAAGACCAGUGGCGAAGGCGGGUCUCUGGACAGUCCUGACACUGAGGCACGAAGGCCAGGGGAGCAAACGGGAUUAGAUACCCUUGUAGUC
rnacentral:rRNA from 1 species